CUCAGGCUGGCCCAUGCUUCAUCACAUUCGUCAUACUCGGAGAUGACAUGCACUUGGCCGUCCCUAUCGCUAUGGAACCGCUCGUCUUCUGCCCCAAGGUGCCAGUGACAGGUGACCCUCGCAAGCUCUGGCUGACCGUCAAUGAGGACAAGCAGGGUGCCAAAGAGGUCAUCGUCCAGUGGGUCACCUGGAUGCCCUCUUUCUAGCCAGGUGUGCGGGGCUAAUCAACACCUACCUCACCUGGACAGCCAAUUAGUUAAAUCCAGGUGUGUGUGUAUAUAGGUGAUUGGUUAUUGGUUCCCUUCCUUCCUGUUCCCUUCAGCAGGUCAGUUUUUUUCCUUCAUCUUCCUAUCAUUGCAAUACUGAAUAACAUUGUAGCUAAAUAGGAAAAGGAAGGCAGGUAGAUGUUAGUUAAAACGUAAAACUUUAAAAAGGAAGUGUAGUUUAAAAGGAAAAGGAAGGCAAGUAGAUGUUGGCUUAAACGUAAAACUUAAAAAAGGAAGUGUAGUUUAAAAGGAAAAGGAAGGCAAGUAGAUGUUGGCUUAAACAUAAAACUUUAAAAAGGAAGUGUAGUUUAAAAGGAAAAGGAAGGCAAGUAGAUGUUGGUUAAAACGUAAAACUUUAAAAAGGAAGUGUAGUUUAAAAGGAAAAGGAAGGCAAGUAGAUGUUGGUUUAAGCGUAAAACUGAAAAACAAAAGCCGGUGUAGUUUAAAAAGGAAAGAAAAGAAGGGAAAGAAGGUUCUAGGAAAAAAAAAUAAGGGUGUAGUAUAUAUAUGGAAAAUCUAUAUAAAAAAAUCACACUAACUUCAAAUAGAAAAAAAGAAAAGAGAUAGUAAUGUUGGAAUAAAGAAAGUGUGAUAAUUGAAAACUUCUUAAAAGGGGAAUUAAUGUAGAAUCAAUAUAGAAAUAGAUUAAUA